CAUGGGACCAGAGCAGACCCAACCAGCCUGUGGGUCUAGAGCUGCAGUAGCCCAGCCCAGCAAGAGUGGCUGCUGCCGCUGUGUGUGUGCAGUCCACAAACCUGAAAGCAUCGAAAUGGCUUCAGUGUGUUUGAUUUGCUUCAGUAUGUCGCCACAGAGUUGAGAACUGAACUUUACAAAACUGCCGACAUUGAGGUUGAGCUCGAGUGACCAGAGGCUCUGGAGAAAGAGGCCCAGCUUUCUCUUGAAGAAAGCUGUAGCAAAUCCCUCCGCACCGGGGCUUAUUUCUCUGUUGAGCUUCAGUUGCUUGCUUCUUCAGGUUGGCUUCAUUUUCUCAAUUUCUCAAGUUUUCACCCGAUGACAGCGGGAGGACAUUCUUUAACGGCGUUACUCAACAUUGAGCUAGGAUGGCUCCAGUGAAGUCCACAAACCUGAAAGGUCUUUUAGAUCUUUUCAUGGACUCUGUCUGACCAGUGUUAAGUUUUACCUGGUCUGCAACACUCCGCCCAGUGAAGAUGGCCAUGUGGAACCAGACAAUCGAAAGGUCAGAGACGACGAGCAACAAGAGAAAACAUCUUUGUGCUGAAGACUCUCGAGAGUCUGUGACCAGUAGAUGG